ensembl:lncRNA
CAGCUGGAAUCUGUUUCUGUCCAGAGUGAGUACCCAGUUGGACUUGGCUCUUUACCUUACACGGAAUGGAGUGAAAACUCUUUACCAUUUUAUUUAAAAGUGAAAGCACUUGACCAUUUUAUUUAAAAGUCUUCCCCUCCUUUCUCUCCAAUAUAGGCUCAAAUCACAAUUUUGUCUCCUUUUUUAGUAAAAAACAAAACAAAACAAAAACAAAAUGGGGGCUUGACUAUUUGCUAAGACUGACAGAUUUUCCUCAUGAUUUAUUUGAUUAAAGACACAGGAAACUUUGAGGAGUCCUGCUGAUGGUUUCUUCCCAUAUUUGAAUGAAACACAAAACAAAAAGCUUCAAGCGCCAAGGAGUAGGCAGGUGGAUUCUUUACUACUGGCACCCCCUGGGAAGCCAGGAAUUCAUUGGGGGUUUUAAAUACCUGCUAAGUCACUUCAGUCGUGUCCGACUCUGUGUGACCCCAUAGAUGGCAGCCCACCAGGCUCCCCCUGUCCCCGGGAUUCUCCAGGUAAGAACACUGGAGUGGGUUGCCAUUUCCUUCUCCAUUUAAAUACCUAAUAUUCUAAUAUAAAUGGCUUUAGAAUGGGAUUGACCCCGG